rnacentral:lncRNA from 1 species
CUCACGGAGUACGAAGAAAGAAGGAGAGGUCAUUAACCAUCUUUCCAACGAGGCUGUGCUGAUCAACUUUCAAUCUUAGUUAUAGUUUUAUUUUAUUUAAUUAUUCUUUUAAAUUCUUUGUAAUUGAAUUUCAACUUUUAAUUAAUGUAAAAUUUAUUUUCUUACACUUUAAAUUUCUGUCUUUUAUUUUAUCAUAAGUAGA